AUUGAACGCUGGCGGCAGGCCUAACACAUGCAAGUCGAGCGAGCGGCGGACGGGUGAGUAAUGUAUGGGGACUGCCCGAUAGAGGGGGAUAACUACUGGAAACGGUGGCUAAUACCGCAUACUAUCGGAUAACCCAUAUGGGAUUAGCUAGUAGGUGGGGUAAAGGCUCACCUAGGCGACGAUCUCUAGCUGGUCGGAGAGGAUGAUCAGCCACACUAGGACUGGGACAAGGCCCAGACGCGUCGGGAGGCAGCAGUGGGGAAUAUUCGACAAUGGGCGCAAACCUGAUGCAGCCAUGCCGCGUGUAUGAAGAAGGCCUUCGGGUUGUAAAGUACUUUCAGCGGGGAGGCGUUACCCGCAGAAGAAGAACCGGCUAACUCCGUGCCAGCAGCCGCGGUAAUUC
rnacentral:rRNA from 1 species